rnacentral:rRNA from 1 species
CCUACGGGAGGCAGCAGUGGGGAAUAUUGGGCAAUGGGCGCAAGCCUGACCCAGCAACGCCGCGUGAAGGAAGAAGGCUUUCGGGUUGUAAACUUCUUUUCUGAGGGACGAAGAAAGUGACGGUACCUCAGGAAUAAGCCACCGCUAACUACGUGCCAGCAGCCGCGGUAAUCCGUAGGUGGCAAGCGUUAUCCGGAUUUAGUGGGUGUAAAGGGCGUGUGGGCGGGAAAGCAAGUCAGAUGUGAAAACGCAGGGCUCAACCCUGACCCUGCAUUGGAAACUGUUUUUCUUGAGUGCUGGAGAGGCAAUCGGAAUGCCGUGUGUAGCGGUGAAAUGCGUAGAUAUAGGGAGGAACACCAGUGGCGAAGGCGGAUUGCUGGACAGUAACUGACGCUGAGGCGCGAAAGCGUGGGGAGCAAACAGGAUUAGAUACCCGUGUAGUC